GCUUCCUGGAUAGCUCAGUUGGUUAGAGCAGGGUGUUGAUAACGCCAAGGUUGCAAGUUUGAUCCUCCUAAGGGACAGCA